GACCAACCAAUGUCGGAUCAAUGGAAAACUUUAAUGACCAUCUAGCAUCAAAUCUGGCAGAAGAUACAGAUGUUAAGCCAGUUGCGAAGAACUGAGAAAAUAUGAUAUUAGUAC